rnacentral:lncRNA from 1 species
CUCUCGUGCUGGAUGCUUCCUGCCCUCGAACAUCGGACUCCAAGUUCUUCAGCUUUGGGACUUGGACUGAUUUCCUUGCUCCUCAGUUUCCAGUCUACUGAGGGACUUUGUGAUCAUCAGAUACUGAAAAGAGGACAUGGGUAGACAACGUCCUUCACUCAAUAUUGGCAGAGAAACACAGAAACCAACAGCCAUGGGAAACUGAGGGAAAAGAUAUCUGCACUUUGUCUCUGAUCCCCUCUCAGUUCCCCAAGCAGAGGAGUCAGGACUUGAGAAGAGACAGAAACGACGUCUAAUGCAAAGACAGACCCCCACCCCUGAAUUGAGAGAGAGGAAGAGAAUAAAGGCAUCAGAAGAGACCCAUGCACAAACAUUUCUUCUGUCCGCUGAUGGACAACAAAUGGAUUAAAGGACUCAUUCAAAAGACAGAACAGGCCGAGCUCAUGCCUGUAAUCCCAGCACUUUGGGAGGCUGAGGCAGGCCGAUGACUUGAGGUCAGGAGUUCGAGAGCAGCCUGGCCAACAUGGUGAAACCCUGGCUCUACUAAAAAUAAAAAAAUUAGCUCUGUGUGGUGGCACGUGCCUGUAAUCCCAGCUACUUGGAAGGCUGAGGCACGAGAAUCACUUGAACCCAGGAGGCAGAGGUUGCAGUGAGCCAAGGACACACUACUGCACUCCAGCCUGGGUGAUGGAGUGAGACUCUGUCUCAAAAAAUAAAAAAAUAAAAAGUAAAAAUAAAAAGACAGAACAGAUUAUGAUUAGUGUCUUUAAAU